GAUGAACGCUGGCGGCGUGCUUAACACAUGCAAGUCGAACGAAGCACUUACGACAGAUUCCUUCGGGAUGAAGAUGUUUGUGACUGAGUGGCGGACGGGUGAGUAACGCGUGGGAAACCUGCCCUACACAGGGGGAUAACAGUUGGAAACGGCUGCUAAUACCGCAUAAUGUAUUUGGGUGGCAUCACUUGGAUACCAAAGGAGCAAUCCGCUGAAAGAUGGGCUCAUAUCUGAUUAGCUGGUUGGCGGGGCAACGGCCCACCAAGGCGACGAUCAGUAGCCGGACUGAGAGGUUGAACGGCCACAUUGGGACUGAGAUACGGCCCAGACUCC
rnacentral:rRNA from 1 species